ACCGGUAACUGAACACUGGAUAGAUUCAUUUAAGAUUUCGCAGAUUCAGACAUUCGUUUUAUUUAUUUUUGCAUGCAGGAGAAGCGAUACAUUAUCUUCACCUAUCUAAUGAUCCAGAUCUGUCAAGGGUCCUAGAGGCUGUAAGCAGGUAGAAAAAGGAAUAUCUGAAAAAGAUGUGCAAGUCAUAACUACAUUUGUGCCUGAAUCUAAUCAUUGUUCUGUGAACUAGGCUUUUUCAUUUUUCGCAUGCAGUCAGAAACAUAUAGGAAGAUGAGGGAGGUUGCUGAAGAGUGCUGGGAAGGCAGAGUCGAACCAAAAACGAUGAAAUGGAACGAUGAAAGGGAUCUACGUUUGUGUCAAGUACCAGAUUGAUUUUGACAGAACAAUGAGUAUAUCAGAGUACCAAUGAUAGAAUAGAGAGCUAGGGUAACUCCAAACUCGACAUAGCGCAGCCUCAAUUUUAAGUUUCUUAUUGAAUGCCUAAUCCUUACAAUCGACUUAGCAUUAAAUAGCAACACAAAACCCUAAACUUAAACCCUAAAAGAGAAUAGCCCUAUACGUGGUUGCAUCUACCACGUCCAAGAUUAACAACUCAUUAAAAUUAAAUAUGAAUUUGAACAAAAAUAACUAGCUCUCUAACAGAGUUUAACUGCAUAGUGCACCCGAUUUCAGUUACAGGCAGUCACAAUAGGGCAUGACAAAUACCCCGUUCUUCAGACGAUCUUUGUCUUCAAAGACGAAAUUUUGGGAAGUAUGCCUCCACAUUCGUAAUAACCUCCCACGUGGCAUCAACAGGGUUUGUAUGUGACCAUUGAAUAAGGGCUUGAAGAACUGAGUUACCUUGACGAAUGUCUUGCCUGUAACCCAAAACAGCCACUGGAACUAAGAUGAUUUCACCCUCUUCCUUGACUACCGGCGAGGUGGGCAAGGUGGUGGCUGUAGCUCCUAUAUUCUUCUUUAACUGUGAAACGUGGAACACAUUGUGACUUUUGGACUGGACAGGAAGGUCCAACUGAUAAGCAACUGCACCAAUCUUCUUAAGAACCAUGAAGGGUCCAUAGUAUAUUGAAGACGAUUUAAAAUUUCUUUUCACAGCCAUGGAAGACAGUCUACAUGGUUGGAGCUUUAAGAAAACAUAGUCUCCCACUUCAAAAGGUCGAUCAAUUCUCUUUUUAUCAGCAAAUACUCUCAUCCUCUCUUGUGAUUGAUGAAGAGAUUCCUUCAAGAAGUCCAGCAUAGCUUUCCUAUCCUUCAAGUAGUCUUCAACAUCAGCCAAUGAUGGUGUAACUUCAUUAGGAAAAGCCAAGUGUGGAGGUGAAUAACCAUAGAUAGCAGUGAAAGGUGUUAUCUUUAAACUCUAAUGAUAAUUUGUGUUAUACCACCACUUAGGGCUGCACAUAACCGACUCGACCCGCCGACCCGACCCACACCCGUCAAAAAAUACCCGUACCCGAACCGACCCACCUAGGUAUGGGUCGACUAUGGGUGAGGCACGUGAAAACCCACCGUAUGUUGGGUCGGUUGCGGGUAGGGACUUCCUUCACCCGAACCGACCCACCAACCCGCCCAAUAAAUCUAACCUUUUUUGUGAGACUAAAAAGCUACAUUUUUUUCUGGGACUAAAAAGCUCUUGGGGAAACAGGCCAUGCAUGCCCUUUAUGUUCAUGGUGAUCUCCUCUUUGCUGGUGGCUCUUCAGUCGAUGGCACAGCCGGAAAGGUGUUCUCGCUCUCAACAAAGGAAGUAAUUGCAACCUUACCAACAGGAUCCGACAUCCACUGCAUAACUGCCAACAAUGAUUUUGUUUUUAUAGGAACUAAAAGUGGAAUAACUGAUGUCUAUUUAAGAGAAUGACUUGUUAGAGUUGCUUCCAUUAAAACAGGGGGUGGAAGAGAAAGCUCAAAAAUCACAAGUUUGGCAUCAGAUUCUGAAGGAGAAAUGCUUUAUACAGGUUCCUCCAGUGGCAAGAUUCAGGAAUUCGAAUUCUAUCAGCACUUAUCAUACCAGUGAGAGAGUAUCAUAUGGAGGUUCAAUUAAUGUAGAUUAUUCAAGCAGAUCAUCCUCUUCAUCAGCUUCUAUCAUGAACAAUUUUUGUGACUUACAUAUGUGGCUUAGCUUAUAUUGGCCAUCGCAAUUGUAACAAAGGCCUUGAGCUUGUCUUUGGUUUUGUUUUUCUUGUGUGAGAAGCCUAGUGGGUGGGAUGUAAGGUGGAGGGUUGGUAACAGAUGUGAAAAAAGGUGUAGAUAAAGUUGGAGAAGUUGAUACAGGUAGAGUGAAGGAUGUCGUGGGUUUUGUAUAGCUGAUGAGAAUUUAGGAAAAAAAUAAGUUGAAGUGGUUGAUGCUUUAUAAGUUGAAGAUUUGGGUUGUUGUUGUUGUUGAAAUGUGAGAGAACUUUAUUGCAAUCUUGUUAGAAAAAAAGGCUUGAGACAUAUGUUGGAUUAUGUAUAUCAACAGAAUUUCUAAUAACAUCUAUAACCCACUAAUGAGAGCUCAACACAAAGUAUUCCUCUGUAAAGUAAGGAUUUUUAUUAAGAACUAGAGCUUUGAGCUAUUCAAACUUUUCAUAAUACUCCUCCACAAUAGUUAAUUGAUACAAUUUAUUAAAGCAUCCUACACGGUUAUCAUUUGCUAAAUUCUCAAAAUGACCACAAAUGGGAUCAACAAAUACAGGUCAAUGUAUUAGAUCUUUACCAGUUUAGAAAUCCAAGUACCAUGAAUCAGCUUUACCUUCUAAGUACAUCGAAGCAAACUUUGUUUUCUUUGCUUCCUCCAAUUUAUUUAUCUGAAAAAAUCUCUCACUUUUAUGGAUCCAGCUUCCAUGAUGGUCACCGUUAAAUUUAGCAAACUUUAUUUUAGGGGUUUUGAAGGUAGAAUUUGAGUGACUUCCUAACUGAAAGGUGUUUUGUGAGUGAGCUGUUUUUCCAGAAAAUGGAGGUAUUGGUAAAAUUACAAGAGGUGUAUUUAAUGUACAUCUGGAAACCUGAUCAAUAAGUGCUGCAAACUUGUACGUAUUGUCUUCAAGUAGAGAAACUAGUUUAUUCAAAACUCAACAUGUUUCUUAGUUGCUUCAGCAUGAGCUAACGUAUUUUUGAUCUGUAUUUCUGUAAGAUUUUUAGGUAAUGUUUUAAGA